rnacentral:tRNA from 1 species
GGAGGGGUUCCCGAGCGGUCAAAGGGGGCAGACUGUAAAUCUGUUGGCUCAGCCUUCGGAGGUUCAAAUCCUCCCCCCUCCACCA